rnacentral:rRNA from 1 species
GUACACGCUGUGACUAGCAUAUCAAUAAGCGGAGGAAAAGAAACUAACUAGGAUUCCCUCAGUAACGGCGAGUGAAGCGGGAAGAGCUCAAAUUUGAAAUCUUCAAGGUUCUACCUUGACGAAUUGUAGUUUAAAGAAGUGUUUUCUGUUGGAGUUUUGGUAAAAGUUCUUUGGAAUAGGACAUCAUAGAGGGUGAGAAUCCCGUAUUUGACCAUUAUUUCCAGCUUUGUGAUACACUUUCAGAGAGUCGGAUUGUUUGGGAAUGCAGUCCAAAAUGGGUGGUAAAUUUCAUCUAAAGCUAAAUACUGGCGAGAGACCGAUAGCGAACAAGUACCGUGAGGGAAAGAUGAAAAGAACUUUGAAAAGAGAGUUAAACAGUACGUGAAAUUGUCAAAAGGGAAGCGUUUGACACCAGUGUUGUUUUCUCGAAAAUCAAUUAAAAAAGGCAGGAUUUUGUGCUGUAUUGACUUUAUCAGCUUUCUGCACUCUUUUCUUGUCUUUUUUAAUGCACUUUUCGUUUAACAAGUCAACAUCAAUUUCUUUUGUUGUAAAAGGGUCAUUGGAAGGUGGCUUUCUUUUCGGAGAAAGUGUUUAUAGCCUUUGGCCUCUGCAAUCGGAGAGAUUGAGGUCUGCAGCGUAGAUCCUUCGGGGUUAGAUACAUUUGUGCUAAGUUAUAGCCUUUCAUAGACAACUUGUUGACUAUGAUCAGUCAUGUAGCUUACUCGCUUAUGCUAUUUUACCUACGCUUAGGAUGUUGAAGACUCUACAGAGAUA